rnacentral:lncRNA from 1 species
UAGAAACCCUGUCUUGAGAUGAACUUUACCAAUAAAACACACAAAGCAGCUGGAUUAUAUCUUCUACUGAAGUCUGGCAAAAAUUAAAUCUGAUCACCCGUGAUAAACUAUGGGACAAUUACUCAGGUAACAAGGUGUAAGGGUGUUACAUGUCUCUGCUAUGUUUUCUGCAGCCUUCAUUUUGGUAUAUGUGAGCUGAAAGAGGCUUUGCAGAGAAGAUAAAGAAAAUAAUUCUUCAUGCAGAACUAGGCUUCAGAGAAUGAAGAGCCCAGCAUUGCCAGAACUCAGUUUUAAUUUAAAGGAAGAAGCUGACCAUUACUACAGAUUUUCUUCUGGUUCUUUAUCUGUUUUAUAAUGUCAGUGAAUUGGAGUUCCAGUUAUUCAUUAAUAUUUAAGAGAUGCAGACCUGGUUACCUUCUCUGGACCUUUAACUACUCCGUAAAGCAGACGAGCGUACGUGAAAGAGCACUUCAACUACAGCAUUCUUUCACACCAGCUGAAUUACAAAACUGAACUUGAUAGAUAGAAUUACUUUUCACAAUUCUGUCCCCUGCAUGUGGCUUUUGAACAGGAUUCAAUAUGAUUUGGAGAUCUAGAUUAAUCAGUGGAACACAGAAGGUUCAGCUGGGGAUCUUUGUUAAAUCUUAAUGGCAGCACUUAGCCGUUACAAAAAUUAUAAAAUCACUUUAAGUAAGUGUAUUGGGUUUACAUGCUUUUCCUACUAGAUGGUGAUACAGGGCCCAACUGUGUAAAAUCUCUACUUCAUAUCAACUGUAAAACUGUACUAAGUAAUAAAUAAAGUCUGUACACUAAGUAAAUGAGUAAG